rnacentral:rRNA from 1 species
CAGCCGCCGCGGUAAUACCGGCGGCCCGAGUGGUGGCCGCUAUUAUUGGGCCUAAAGCGUCCGUAGCCGGGCCCGUAAGUCCCUGGCGAAAUCCCACGGCUCAACCGUGGGGCUUGCUGGGGAUACUGCGGGCCUUGGGACCGGGAGGGGCGGGGGGUACCCCUGGGGUAGGGGUGAAAUCCUAUAAUCCCAGGGGGACCGCCGGUGGCGAAGGCGCCCCGCUGGAACGGGUCCGACGGUGAGGGACGAAGGCCAGGGGAGCAAACCGGAUUAGAUACCCGGGUAGUCCUGGCUGUAAAGGAUGCGGGCUAGGUGUCGGGUGAGCUUCGGGCUCGCCCGGUGCCGUAGGGAAGCCGUUAAGCCCGCCGCCUGGGGAGUACGGCCGCAAGGCUGAAACUUAAAGGAAUUGGCGGG